CUGUGCAAAGGUAGCAUAAUCAUUAGUUUUUUAAUUGAAAGCUUGUAUGAAGGGUUGGACGAGGUAAAUUCUGUCUCUAUUUAAUUUUAUAUAGAAUUUAAUUUUUAAGUUAAAAAGCUUAAAUUUAUUUAAAAGACGAGAAGACCCUAUAGAUCUUUAUAUUAAAAAUAUUAAUUUUAAUUAAGAAUAUUUAAUUUUUUAAUAUUUAUAAUAUUUUAUUGGGGUAAUAAAAAGAUUAAAUUAAUUCUUUUUUUAUUUUAACAUUUAUUUAUGAUUAUAUGAUCCAAUUUUAUUGAUUAAAAGAUUAAGUUACCUUAGGGAUAACAGCGUAAUUUUUUUAGAGAGUUCAUAUCGAUAAAAAAGUUUGCGACCUCGAUGUUGGAUUAAAAAUUAUCUUAGGUGCAGAAGUUUAAGAUUUUGGUCUGUUCGACCAUUAAAUUUUU
rnacentral:rRNA from 1 species